rnacentral:lncRNA from 1 species
GGAGGUUACGGCAGCACCAAUAUACUCAAUAUACACAUCAGUGCCCAAGGAGGGAAAAGAGGACUGAGGAAGGGGUCAGGACUGGGUUUCUUUCAACUGAAACAGAUUUAUGGAUUCAAGGAGCUUGAGAGUCUGCAUCUGUGCCAGAGACUCUUGGAUCCUGUGAGCCAGCUCCUACCAUGCAGAUACUUCUGGAAGUCAUUGCUGGGAAGAAAUACUUUAGGAAGGAUGCAGGCUGGUCCAUAGGAGGCCAGGCUGUAAUCAGAAGGAUUGUGGGGUGAAGGACUAAACAUUUCCUGAGACGUUUGGACCACAGAGGAUUCUAUCUACAGAAGCUCUUCAAUCUCAGGGCUAAGAAAGCGGGCUCCAGCCUCCACAUGCCUGGUUGUUGAGUCUUCCUGGAUCCAGUCUCUGGCAACCUCAGAGAAGGAAAGUUUUUGCUGGAAAUGACAGUGUGGAAAGGUGGGGAGGAACGAGUUCUUGUCUGAUGGCUGCCAACAGGAGAAGGCUGAAAUGGGCAGGCUUGCACAGCCAAUGCCUACUACUAUUUGGACAAAAGAUGUCAACUAAUAUCCAUUAUCUAGAGAUGAGUGCCCCAAACAUGCUUUUGUUCACACUCCCUUCUCCGCGGCUUUCCACGUCAACUCCAGGCUGCCUGGAGGCCCUGGAGUGGCAUUGGCCAUGCUAAGAAGAAUGAUACAGGAAAGAAGGAGAAGAGAUCCAUUGUCAUUUCAGAAGAGAAAGUAGGUCCCAUGCAAACUCAACUUCUUUCAGAACUGAUUGACACAUCAAUUGUGAAAAUUAUGGAAACUGUAGUUAAAGACGAAGAAAAUAAAAAUCAAAACAAAUGCCGUCACCUAAUGAUAACAACUGUUAAUGUUUUGUUGUGCAUCCUUUUGUUUCUCCAUCCCUCUUUAAACAUUUUUCAAAACAAAAAUGUGAUCAUAG